rnacentral:rRNA from 1 species
GAUGAACGCUGGCGGCGUGCCUAAUACAUGCAAGUCGAGCGAACAGACGAGGAUCUUGCUCCUCUGACGUUAGCGGCGGACGGGUGAGUAACACGUGGAUAACCUACCUAUAAGACUGGGAUAACUUCGGGAAACCGGAGCUAAUACCGGAUAAUAUAUUGAACCGCAUGGUUCAAUAGUGAAAGACGGUUUUGCUGUCACUUAUAGAUGGAUCCGCGCCGCAUUAGCUAGUUGGUAAGGUAACGGCUUACCAAGGCAACGAUGCGUAGCCGACCUGAGAGGGUGAUCGGCCACACUGGAACUGAGACACGGUCCAGACUCCUACGGGAGGCAGCAGCAGGGAAUCUUCCGCAAUGGGCGAAAGCCUGACGGAGCAACGCCGCGUGAGUGAUGAAGGUCUUCGGAUCGUAAAACUAUGUUAUUAGGGAAGAACAAAUGUGUAAGUAACUAUGCACGUAUUGACGGUACCUAAUCAAAAAGCCACGGCUAACUACGUG